GAGGCCCGAUGCCGUAUCCUGCCGCCCGUUUUACCCGCGGGAAAGCCGAGGCCCGGUGCUGUAUUCUGCCGCCCAUUUUACCCGCGGGGAAGCUGAGGCCCAGUGCUGUUUAAUAUCUUACUCAUGUUCACUUGAUGAGAAAGUGACAGAUCUGAGACAAACCCAGUUCUAGAGGUUAUGACACCAGCCAUGGAAGAGCAGAGAGGCCAAUGAGGUGGGGAGGUUGGAAACAAAAGGCCUUCUCCACCCCAGCUUGACCAACCCAAAAGCUGGAAGGCAAGGAAGACCUAGAUCGACAGAAAAGAAAUGAGUCAACGAUGGUGCAGGUGAUCUGUGCAGUGCUGUGCAGGGGAUGGGUCAAAGCUGUGAUGCUGGCAUGCAACUAACUCACCAUUAAAGGGACCAGCUUGACGAAGCUUCUGCUUUUGUGACUGUCUCCUAAUGAAACCAGAGCACCUCAGAAGAUCAAGGCUUCCAAAUUCUCCUGGGGGAACAGACGUCAGCCAUUCAGCACAAAGGAAACUUCCUUCUCUGUAUGUCAGAGGAAGACAUAAUUGUGCCAUUUCCUUCUUGAAGAAGUUUACAAACAUUUGCAAGUUGUCAAAAAUAAUUAGUCUAAAAUUGUUUCAUAAACCGUGGAAUGAAACAGGACGUGCCUUGUUGAGAUCAAAGGGCUUCUGUUACCUUCUUGUAAACUCAAAUGAAAUUCUUUUGAAAGUAAA
rnacentral:lncRNA from 1 species